rfam:Felis catus isolate Cinnamon breed Abyssinian chromosome C2, whole genome shotgun sequence.
GCCUGGGUGGCUCAGUCGGUUGAGCGUCCGACUUCAGCUCAGGUCACGAUCUCACGGUUUGUGAGUUCGAGCCCCGCGUCAGGCU